rnacentral:rRNA from 1 species
GACGAACGCUGGCGGCGUGCUUAACACAUACAAGUCGAGCGAUGAAGUUUCUUCGGAAAUGGAUUAGCGGCGAACAGGUGAGGAACACGUGAAGAAUCUGCCCUCCACUUUGGGAUAACACAGGGAAACCUGUGCUAAUACCGAAUAUUGAAACAUAAGUGGCAUCACUGAGUUCUGAAAGAAUUUCGGUGGAGGAUGACUUCGCGGCCUAUCAGCUAGUUGGUGAGGUAAUGGCUCACCAAGGCAACGACGGGUAGCCGGCCUGAGAGGGCGACCGGCCACACUGGGACUGAGACACGGCCCAGACUCCUACGGGAGGCAGCAGUGGGGAAUAUUGGGCAAUGGAGGAAACUCUGACCCAGCGACGCCGCGUGCGGGAUGAAGGCCUUCGGGUUGUAAACCGCUUUCAGUAGGGAAGAAGCGAAAGUGACGGUACCUACAAAAGAAGCACCGGCUAACUAUGUGCCAGCCGCCGCCGUAA